UACAGAGGGGGCAAGCGUUGUUCGGAAUUACUGGGCGUAAAGGGCGCGUAGGCGGUUGGAUAAGCCCUCCGUGAAAUCUCCAGGCUUAACCUGGAAAGUGCAGAGGGGACUGUUCAGCUAGAGGAUGGGAGAGGAGCGCGGAAUUCCCGGUGUAGCGGUGAAAUGCGUAGAGAUCGGGAGGAAGGCCGGUGGCGAAGGCGGCGCUCUGGACCGAUAUUGACGCUGAGGCGCGAAAGCCAGGGGAGCAAACGGG
rnacentral:rRNA from 1 species